GCUGGGUGUGGUGGUGCAUGCCUGUAAUCCCAGCAGCUCGGGAGGCUGAGACAGGAGGAUCAUGAGUUCAAAGCUAUUCUCAGCAAAAGCAAGGUGCUAAGAAACUCAGUGAGGCCCUGUCUCUA
rnacentral:sRNA from 1 species